rnacentral:rRNA from 1 species
AUGAACGCUGGCGGCGUGCCUAAUACAUGCAAGUCGAGCGCACGGACGAGAAGCUUGCUUCUCUGAUGUUAGCGGCGGACGGGUGAGUAACACGUGGAUAACCUACCUAUAAGACUGGGAUAACUUCGGGAAACCGGAGCUAAUACCGGAUAAUAUUUUGAACCGCAUGGUUCAAAAGUGAAAGACGGUCUUGCUGUCACUUAUAGAUGGAUCCGCGCUGCAUUAGCUAGUUGGUAAGGUAACGGCUUACCAAGGCAACGAUGCAUAGCCGACCUGAGAGGGUGAUCGGCCACACUGGAACUGAGACACGGUCCAGACUCCUACGGGAGGCAGCAGUAGGGAAUCUUCCGCAAUGGGCGAAAGCCUGACGGAGCAACGCCGCGUGAGUGAUGAAGGUCUUCGGAUCGUAAAACUCUGUUAUUAGGGAAGAACAUAUGUGUAAGUAACUGUGCACAUCUUGACGGGACCUAAUCAGAAAGCCACGGCUAACUACGU